ACAAAACUCAACCUUUCUCUAAUUCCAUCAGCGAUCAAAGACGCACAACCCCAAAAAAGAAAAAAUUCCACACAAACGUGAAGCAAGGACAAACAAAAAUACAAAACGAGUAUCACUUAAAACCCAUUAAACCCAAAAAAAAGGACUGCUAAACUCCCCGAACAGCUGAAAAGAACAGAGAAAAGACUCAUUAAGAUUAAAGGAAAAAACGAUAGCGUAGCAUACCUCUUUUGCUUCAAAAAAACAAUCCUUGGAAGGUUGAUGGGCUGAGGAAAUGAAAAGAAGAACAGGAGAGAAAAAGUCACAAAGAUUUUUGAUAUAUUGGCCAGUCUCAAAACAAGAAACGAAGACUUAAUGAAGAAGUCGCGGACAUGAUUGAUAUAAUUUCUGCGAUGCUUCCCUCGUAGAGAAAAAGACUGCAAACUAGUCGUCGAAAACGAGUAAGAGGUUUUUGUUAUUU
rnacentral:lncRNA from 1 species